UACAGAGGUCCCGAGCGUUGUUCGGAUUCAUUGGGCGUAAAGAGCUCGUAGGCGGUCUGUCGCGUCGGCUGUGAAAUCCCGAGGCUCAACCUCGGGUCUGCAGUCGAUACGGGCAAACUAGAGUAUUGCAGGGGAGACUGGAAUUCCUGGUGUAGCGGUGAAAUGCGCAGAUAUCAGGAGGAACACCGGUGGCGAAGGCGGGUCUCUGGGCAAUAACUGACGCUGAGGAGCGAAAGCGUGGGGAGCGAACAGG
rnacentral:rRNA from 1 species